GACUAGCCUAUUCUGAGGGAUAUAUUCUUCACCCAGGAGGGUCUAUGUAUUUUAGAGCAACCCUGCGUCCCACUGUCCGGUGAGGAUGAAAUCAAUCUGGCUAGCAGAGUCACCUGAUUGAUAGACUAUCAGGUGGCUGUCUGGUUUCCUGAAAUUAGUGUUGCAGAUUAAAAGGUCACAUGCAUCACAGAACUCCAGUAGCCUAGUUCCCUUGUCGUUUUGGGAACCAAUACCAUGGCCCCCGUGUACACCAGUGAAGAUACCAGAUUGCUGCCCAACAUGCCCAUUAAAAUCCCCAGCUGCAAAGAUGAGGUCAUUGCCACUCGUCUUUGAGGUAGCCUGUAGAAGGAUGUUUUGCUUCCUUUCUGA